CAGAGGCCCCAAGCGUUACUGAGAAUCACUGGGUUUAAAGGGUGCGUAGGUGGCGCGUCAAGUCCGUUGUGAAAGCCCUGGGCUCAACCCAGGAACUGCUUCGGAUACUGGCGCGCUUGAGGCUAGUAGGGGUCACUGGAACUGACGGUGGAGCGGUGAAAUGCGUAGAUAUCGUCAGGAACGCCAAUGGUGAAGACAGGUGACUGGGCUAGUUCUGACACUGAGGCACGAAAGCGUGGGGAGCGAACGGGAUUAGAUACCCCGGUAGUCCACGCCCUAAACGAUGCAGACUAGACUGCAGCGGGUUACACCCCGUUGCGGUCGGAGCGAAAUUGUUAAGUCUGCCACCUGGGAAGUACGGUCGCAAGGCUA
rnacentral:rRNA from 1 species